AACGAACGCUGGCGGCGUGCUUAAUACAUGCAAGUCGUGCGAGAACGGGGGCUUCGGCCUCCUAGUAAAGCGGCGAACGGGUGCGUAACACGUGGGCAACCUGCCUAUCAGUUUGGGAUAAGCUCUCGAAAGGGGGUCUAAUACCGAAUGAUACCCAGAAGAGACAUCUCUUUUGGUUCAAAGACGGUGAAAGCCGUUGCUGAUAGAUGGGGCCCGCGCCCCCAUUAGCUAGUUGGUAGGGUAACGGCCUACCAAGGCUCCGAUGGGUAGCCGACCUGAGAGGGUGACCGGCCACACUGGGACUGAGAUACGGCCCAGACUCCUACGGGAGGCAGCAGUAGGGAAUAUUGCGCAAUGGAGGCAACUCUGACGCAGCAACGCCGCGUGGAUGAUGAAGCUCUUUGGAGUGUAAAGUCCUGUCGCCAGGGAAGAAACGAUGGAUGAGGAAAUGCAUUCGUCCUGACGGUACCUGGAGAGGAAGUUCCGGCUAACUCCGUGCCAGCAGCCGCGGUAA
rnacentral:rRNA from 1 species